GAUUCUGCUCCAGGCUUGAAGCAGAUAAUAACUGCUGUAGCUUUUGCUGUUGCGGAUGGAUGGUCUGGAGAGCUAUCAGCCACCAGGGCAGGAAGUGCCCAAAGAAUUCAGGUCCUCACAUUUGCCAACGCUCCAUCUAACCUAGAUGGCAGUUCAGCAAAGGGAUUUGGCUCUUCUGCCAAACUUGCCUCUCAAAAUCACCCUUCGGCCUCAUAACACAGAAUAAGGCCACUGUCUAGAUGUCCCCCUGAGGCCUUCCAUUCAAGACCAGAAUUUCUGACAUUCUGAAUCAUACCUUCCCCAAAGAAGGCUUCAUUUCUCCCUUCAUGCCUGUGGAGAACGUGGGGCUUGCCAAUAGUCAAUUGUUCUGACCCAGCAGGACCAGUCAAUGCCAAGAUAACUAUUCUGUGGGGCUCUCAUCAAUUACUUUUUCUUUUCUAGGCUGGACACUCCUUGUGGAGCAAGGCUGGAGGCUGACUCAUGCACAGUGAAUACCCUGGCAGGGAAAACUCUAGAGCACUAAAUUAAAAAAAAAAAAUAGUAUUCUCUCACUACCACCAACUUAAACAGAGAGCUGCAGCAAGGGCUGAUUUGAAUGCCUGUUAUUUCCUGUCAGCUUGCGAUGAGCUUUCCGGGACACAAAGACACACAGAGUUCCAUUGUCCUGAUCAUUUCUCUGGCCCAAGGGAAGGGAAAGGGAACAAGCCAUUGGGUGCACCACUCUAUGGGACAAACAGAACUGAAACGCUUACUA